rnacentral:tRNA from 1 species
GCAGACGUAGCUCAACUGCGCAGAGCACCCCCGUGGUACGGGGGAAGAUGCGGGUUCAAAUCCCGUCGUCAGCUCCA